GAUGAACGCUGGCGGCGUGCCUAAUACAUGCAAGUCGAGCGAACAGACGAGGAGCUUGCUCCUCUGACGUUAGCGGCGGACGGGUGAGUAACACGUGGAUAACCUACCUAUAAGACUGGGAUAACUUCGGGAAACCGGAGCUAAUACCGGAUAAUAUAUUGAACCGCAUGGUUCAAUAGUGAAAGACGGUUUUGCUGUCACUUAUAGAUGGAUCCGCGCCGCAUUAGCUAGUUGGUAAGGUAACGGCUUACCAAGGCAACGAUGCGUAGCCGACCUGAGAGGGUGAUCGGCCACACUGGAACAGAGACACGGUCCAGACUCCUACGGGAGGCAGCAGUAGGGAAUCUUCCGCAAUGGGCGAAAGCUUGACGGAGCAACGCCGCGUGAGUGAUGAAGGUCUUCGGAUCGUAAAACUCUGUUAUUAGGGAAGAACAAAUGUGUAAGUAACUAUGCACGUCUUGACGGUACCUAAUCAGAAAGCCACGGCUAACUACGUG
rnacentral:rRNA from 1 species